CAGUUCCCAUGCACCCAGCACUUCUCCUGGGCCUCCUUUGGCCCAAUGCCUUCUGACCCAGCGCUGAGCUCCACUGGGUGAAGGCCAUGCCUGUCAUGUUCACCACAAUAUCCCCUCCCCCAUCACCACGCCUGGUCCGCAGAGAUGCUCAAAAAAGAUCUGUUGGUAGGCAACGCGAAGGUGCAUUCAUGUCAUCCUGCAGGCAGAAUUCUCCACGAGUUUUGAGCAGCCUCGGUUUUCCCACCACCUCCAAAUCAUGCAAGACACAGGGUAAGAGCAAAGACAAGGUAGCUGUGGCCGAUGUCCACCCUCUCGGGGCGUCCCUUCUCUUUUCUCCUCCUUGGGCAGGGAGACCAUCGGGGUGCAACCUGGCUGGGGCGGAGAGGAGGUGCAGAGCCUGGCCGGAGCUGGCCUGGCCAAGGGCAGGGGACAGCGACCGCCUAGGCCGGAGCAGGUGAGCACGGCGCAGGCUCCGGCCCCGCGUGUCCGCGGUGCACGCGAGCGGCCAGCAGAGGGGGCCAGAGAGCCACGAGCGGCCCGUGGAGGAGCCCGCGCGGGCCCCGAUGCCCAGCUCCGCGCCGCGCGGACCCACCGAGCCCGCGCUCAGACGUCCCAGCUCCGCCGAGAGGCCGCUCGCGACGGGUCCUUCCUCUUCCCGAAGUGCAGGCAGAGCACCUGGAGCCAUGGGCAGCCCUUCCGGCAGCUCCGAAGCCACUGGCAAGCCCCGAGGCAGGGAUGGCCGGCCCAGGAGGGAGGAGGACGACGUCCCUCCCGAGAAGAGGCUGCGGCUGUUGCUGGAGGGGGAAGCGCACAGCCCGAGGACUGCGAGGACGGGGAGGACGCGACGCGGCCGGGCAGGGAGGAGACCGGCACCCAGACAGGUGGCGACGGCAGAGGAUGAUGUUUUGUUCUGGGGUGCAUCACAAGAGACAAGGUCCUUGGCCAGGCGUGGUGGCUCAAGCAAAUAAUCCCAGCACUUUGAGAGGGGGAACGCCGGGAUCGCUUGAACCCAGGAAUUUAAGACCAGCCUGGGCAAUGUGGUGAAGCCUCAUAUCUACCAAAAAAAAAAAAAAAAAAAAAAA
rnacentral:lncRNA from 1 species